rnacentral:misc_RNA from 1 species
AGCCUAAGAAGGCAAAAGGGACAUCACAAAAUGAGGUUAGAGGUAGGUUUACAAAGAAAAGAUUUGUCUAAAUGGGCUUUUCUGGCAGCCACCCAUUACAAAUCCCAGGAAUAAAAACAAAAUUAACUUCCUCCAAAGUCGAUUUAAUGCUCAAUAUAAUUUCUAGAAUUUCCUGAGGACAAGAGGUCUAGAGAUAGCUGUUGAUAAUAAUUUGGGAAUCACUUCAAUGAUAACGUUCUUGAAAUUAUACGAAACUGCCAACUGAAUUGCAUUCCUGCAACAAGACUUUCCGCCACUAGGUGGUUGAAGAUUCUUGGAAAUGAAGUGUUGUGCCAUCCCCUUAAAUUUCCUAGGUGGUCUCUGGCAAUCACACUGGU